UUCUGACUUUACUCAGAAUUCUGACUUUAAAGUGAGAAUUCUGACUUUGUGACGUUCGUGGAGCUAUGAAUUGUGGGGGGACCGUCAGCGUGUGGCGUGACUUGAAAGAAAGGGCAUCAUGUCGUCACCCAGCGACUUUUUGCGUGGCCGAGGAGUGUCGGAGGACAUCCUUUCACUUUUGGAGGAGCAGAGGAUAAAGUGACUGAUGGAGGGUGCAACUCAAACAGUGGCUGGAAAUCCAGAUUUGGAUGACUUGAUCAAGCUAUGUUUUAGACUUGGAUUCAGUAAUAAGGAAAUACUUGCAAUUUUAGCACAUAAUGCUGAAACUAUUUUAAGUAUUCUGACUCUGAAAAGGACAUGCAAAAGACUUGGUCUUUUUCGAAGAAAGAACCAGUCAGACCUGGGAGACGUGUUGGCUUUUGUCCAGCACGAGAUCAUGACUAGUGGACAGAUGCAAGGUUAUCGGUGGCUUCAUCUGCGUGCCAUUCAAAAAGGAUUUGUUGUGUCACAAGAUACAAUAAGACAAAUUAUACAAUUUGUUGACCCUGUAGGUGUGGGAAUAAGAAGAGCACGACGCCUAAGAAGGCGCCAAUACAACUGUCGGGGGGCCAAAUGCUCUUUGGCACCUGGAUGGCUAUGACAAAUUAAAGCCCUACGGGAUUGGCAUCAAUGGCUGUAUUGAUGGCUUUAGCCGGUAUGUGUUAUGGGCGGAAGCCUAUACCACAAACAGUGACCCUAAGGUGGUUGCAAGUUAUUUUAUAAAAACAGUUUCACGCAUUGGUGGGUGUCCAGAGAGGAUCCGUGCAGACAGGGGCACAGAAAAUGUUUGUGUCGAACAGAUGCAGAUGUUUUUGCGUAGAAACCACUCAGACAAUUUUGCUGCGGAGAAAAGUUUCCUUUACGGAAGAAGUACAGCCAAUCAGCGUAUUGAAGGGUGGUGGUCCACCCUUCGCAAACAGUGCACAGUUUUGGAUUAAUUUAUUUCAAACACUUCAAGAUGAUGGCCACUUUUCAGGAGAGUUUCUGGAUAAAAGUCUUAUCCGGUUCUGCUUUCUCAACCUUGUGCAGGAUGAGCUGGAUGAAGUUGUGAACACGUGGAACGCACACAAAA